rnacentral:tRNA from 1 species
GCGCGAGUGGCUCAGUUGGUGGAGCAUCGCCUUCCCAAGGCGAGGGUCGCGGGUUCGAGUCCCGUCUCGCGCU